rnacentral:rRNA from 1 species
CCCUUAGAUGUUCUGGGCUGCACGCGCGCUACACUGAUGCGUUCAACGAGUGUAUAACCUUACCCGAUAGGGUUGGGUAAUCUUUUGAACACGCAUCGUGAUGGGGAUAGAUUAUUGCAAUUAUUAAUCUUCAACGAGGAAUUCCUAGUAAUGAUGAAUCAUCAGUUCAUCGUGAUUACGUCCCUGCCCUUUGUACACACCGCCCGUCGCUACUACCGAUUGAAUGAUUUAGUGAGGACUUCGGACUGGGACCGAUGCGGCUUUCGGGCUGCGUCGGUAUUCUGGAAAGAUGUCCAAACUGUAUCAUUUAGAGGAAGUAAAAGUCGUAACA